GAUGAACGCUGGCGGCGUGCCUAAUACAUGCAAGUCGAGCGAACGGACGAGAAGCUUGCUUCUCUGAUGUUAGCGGCGGACGGGUGAGUAACACGUGGAUAACAUACCUAUAAGACUGGGAUAACUUCGGGAAACCGGAGCUAAUACCGGAUAAUAUUUUGAACUGCAUGGUUCAAAAGUGAAAGACGGUCUUGCUGUCACUUAUAGAUGGAUCCGCGCUGCAUUAGCUAGUUGGUAAGGUAACGGCUUACCAAGGCAACGAUGCAUAGCCGACCUGAGAGGGUGAACGGCCACACUAGAACUGAGACACGGUCCAGACUCCUACGGGAGGCAACAGUAGGGAAUCUUCCGCAAUGGGCGAAAGCCUGACGGAGCAACGCCGCGUGAGUGAUGAAGGUCUUCGGAUCGUAAAACUCUGUUAUUAGGGAAUAACAUAUGUGUAAGUAACUGUGCACAUCUUGACGGUACCUAAUCAGAAAGCCACGGCUAACUACGUG
rnacentral:rRNA from 1 species